rnacentral:rRNA from 1 species
AUUGAACGCUGGCGGCAGGCCUAACACAUGCAAGUCGAGCGGAGCGGCGGAAGGGUGAGUAAUGCCUAGGAAUCUGCCUGGUAGGGGGGGCGAACGUCCGGAAACGGGCGCGAGUACCGCAUACUAUCAGAUGAGCCUAGGUCGGAUUAGCUAGUUGGAGGGGUAAAGGCCUACAAAGGCGACGAUCCGGAACUGGUCUGAGAGGAUGAUCAGGCACACUGGAACUGGUGCACGGUCCAGACUCCUACGGUAGGCAGGCGUGGGGAAUAUUGGACAAUGGGCGAAAGCCUGAUCCAGCCAUGCCGCGUGUGUGAAGAAGGUCUUCGGAUUGUAAAGCACUUUAAGUUGGGAGGCGUUACCAACAGAAUACGCACCGGCUAACUUCGUGCCAGCAGCCGCGGUAAUUC